rnacentral:rRNA from 1 species
UCCUACGGGACGCAGCAGUGGGGAAUUUUGGACAAUGGGGGCAACCCUGAUCCAGCCAUUCCGCGUGAGUGAAGAAGGCCUUCGGGUUGUAAAGCUCUUUUGUCCGGAACGAAACGGUUGCGGUGAAUAUCCGCGACUACUGACGGUACCGGAAGAAUAAGCACCGGCUAACUACGUGCCAGCAGCCGCGGUAAUACGUAGGGUGCGAGCGUUAAUCGGAAUUACUGGGCGUAAAGCGUGCGCAGGCGGUUUUGUAAGCCAGAUGUGAAAUCCCCGGGCUUAACCUGGGAAUGGCAUUUGGGACUGCAAGGCUGGAGUGCGGCAGAGGAGACUGGAAUUCCUGGUGUAGCAGUGAAAUGCGUAGAUAUCAGGAGGAAUACCGAUGGCGAAGGCAGGUCUCUGGGCUGACACUGACGCUCAUGCACGAAAGCGUGGGGAGCAAACAGGAUUAGAAACCCGAGUAGUCCA